GGUAGCGUGUCCGAGCGGCCUAAGGAGCACGCCUCGAAAGCGUGUGUGGGUUAACAGUCCACCGUGGGUUCAAAUCCCACCGCUACCG
rnacentral:tRNA from 4 species